GGCCUAUUGGUGAAGAGGUUAACACACAUGGUUUUCAUCCAUGCAUGCGCGGGUUCGAAUCCCGCAUAGGUCA
rnacentral:tRNA from 1 species